GGUUCGAUGGUGUAGUUGGUUAUCACUUCUGUCUAACAUGCGGCUUACGUAACGUAACCACGUGCUCCACACAGGCGGUCCUCGGUUCGAACCCGGGUCGAAUCA